CCUACGGGUGGCAGCAGUGAGGAAUAUUGGUCAAUGGACGAGAGUCUGAACCAGCCCAGUAGCGUGAAGGAUGACUGCCCUAUGUGUUGUAACCUUCUUUUAUAUAGGAAUAAAAUGUUCCACGUGUAGGCUUUUGUAUGUACCAUAUGAAUAAGGAUCGGCUAACUCCGUGCCUGCAGCCGCUGUAAUACGGAGGAUCCGAGCGUUAUCCGGAUUUAUUGGGUUUAAAGGGAUCGUAGGUUGAUUGUUAAGGAAGUUGUGAAAGUUUGCGGAUCAACCGUAAAAUUGCAGUUGAGACUGGCAGUCUUGAGUACAGUAGAGGUGGGCGGAAUUCGUGGUGUAGCGGUGAAAUGCUUAGAUAUCACGAAGAACUCCGAUUGAGAAGGCAGUUCACUGGACUGCAACUGACACUGAGGCUCGAAAGUGUGGGUAUCAAACAGGAUUAGAUACCCCAGUAGUC
rnacentral:rRNA from 1 species